UAAAAAAUUUCAAUUUUAUCAUUUUCAUUUUUUUUUACAUUUUGCUUUCAUUAUCUUAUUAUUUAAAUAUCUAUAAGAUNCUUCUCCUACACAUACACACAUUGCAGAAAAAUAGAUACCAACAAAAUCUGCUCAUCAUCGAAAACUAGUACAAUCGAAAACUACUUUCGAUCCAUCAUCUUGAAGCACCAAAGAAACAGAACGAAGGAUAUCAGACCCCAUCAAAUUCCAUCUUCAAUUCAUCUUCACUGAAUUAAUCGAAACUCAACUUCAAUCUACAAAAAGUUAAGUCAUUUAAUGAAACGAAACUCAUUUGCCCGACCAUCUUAUGUACCUGAAACAGUAUUUUGAAGGGAAAAUGGGUAAACACAAAGCUUAGUGAAUUUCACACAUAUACAGUAUCAUAUCAUAUAAUCCUUAGCCCUAUGUACAUUGAUACAAACGAUAUCAACAUACAACCACGUAUGCAUGUUAAAGAAUGAAUAAGAAACAUACAUACUCCUACUGGAGCACACUGGCUAGGUCCGACCCCCCAUUGCUUUGUACGUCGAGCCCUUGGGACACAUUGGCUAAGUCCGCUCCCCCAUACCCGAACCCAUUGGGACACAUUGGCUAAGUCUGCUCCCCCCUUGCUUUGUACGUCGAGCCUUUAGGACACAUUGGCUACGCCCGAUCCCCACUUGGAUGUACCAAGUCCUACCAUGCAUAAUCCUCAAUACUUAAGGGAAACCACUAGACUCUACCUCGCCUAGUACUACUCGCAUAAACAACACAUAGUACACACAGGGUAACAUAAAAAAAUAUAUAAUACAACACAGUGUAGUGAGAAACUCACCUCAAUUAGCAAGACCAAUCUCCAAACGUAGCCCAGGGCUCACUCACACUGGGUCACCCUUCAAUCCUCUUUAACAAUAACAAUCAAGGUUAUAAAUGGCUAACCUUUCACUGAAAACAUGUAACUAAACUACUAGGUUUAAUUUCUAGAUUUUAACCCAAAACAACAGCUUGUUCAAUACUUGNCCCCCCCCCCACACACACACACACACAAAAACCCAUCUAAACCAGGUUAUGAAACCAUGAUCAUGAAGUUCAGGUUAAUACCUUUUUCAGGGACUAGUUACACGCGCUCAACUUUCGGCCAAAACAAUGAAAUAAAAUAGACUCACAUACAAACUUUGGGUACUAAUUUCGACAAGGAACAUCUCUAGUAUUAGUUAUGAUGCUUAUAAAGUAGGACAUAACAAUGGAUUUUUCAGAAAGAUAAAACUAGGGUUGGAGUUCAAUCCACUAAACCCAUUAAGUCCCAAAUUUGAUUAAGACCUUCCACGUCUGUAACACAUCAUCCCUAGGUCCCAUAGGACUUUUCCAAGAAAUGAGUAAGAAAUCAAACCUAGGUUGUUGAGAUUGAAAGCUCCAUACAAACCUUGCACCUAAAACGACUUCGACAACAACCCUAAAACUUCUGCCAUGAUCGACGAUAUGUAACUCUAUCUCUAGACCUUGGAAUUGAAAUUCCAACGGUCAAAACUUCAAUAUAUCUCUUGGAAAGCCUCACGCCAAAUUUCUCGAUGAUCCAACGAUUCAAUCUCCGGGGAUCGUCCAAGUACUGUUGAAAGGUCUUCAAAAAUGGGAAUUCCAAGCAAUAUGGUUAUUAAGGUUAAGUUGUGUUUAAGGGUCCUUAAGUGGCUGAACAAUUCGGUCCUAAGGCCCCCAAUUCAAC
rnacentral:lncRNA from 1 species